rnacentral:ncRNA from 1 species
CUUAUCAAGAGUGGUGGAGGGAACGGCCCGAUGAAACCCGGCAACCUGUCCGAAAGGAAAAGGUGCCAAAUCCGGCGGCAAACGAAAGAUGAGG